rnacentral:rRNA from 1 species
UACGAAGGGUGUAAGCGUUACUCGGAAUUACUGGGCGUAAAGCGUGCGUAGGUGGUUCGUUAAGUCUGAUGUGAAAGCCCUGGGCUCAACCUGGGAAUGGCAUUGGAAACUGGCGACCUAGAGUGCGGUAGAGGGUAGUGGAAUUCCCGGUGUAGCAGUGAAAUGCGUAGAGAUCGGGAGGAACAUCCGUGGCGAAGGCGACUACCUGGACCAGCACUGACACUGAGGCACGAAAGCGUGGGGAGCAAACAGG